rnacentral:rRNA from 1 species
UGUGUAGGCGGUUUAUUAAGUCAUUUGUAAAAGAUCUCAGCUCAACUGAGUAAAGCGAGUGAAACUGGUAGACUUGAAUACGGUAGAGGUAAGUGGAAUUCCAUGUGUAGCGGUGGAAUGCGUAGAUAUAUGGAGGAACACCAAUGGCGAAGGCAACUUACUGGGCCGGAAUUGACGCUGAGGCACGAAAGCGUGGGGAGCAAACAGGAUUAGAUACCCUGGUAGUCC